CCUACGGGUGGCAGCAGUGAGGAAUAUUGGUCAAUGGCCGGAAGGCUGAACCAGCCAAGCCGCGUGAAGGACGAAGGUGCCAAGCAUUGUAAACUUCUUUUGUCAAGGGACAAAAUCAGGCUCGAGAGCCUGACCGAGGGUACUUGAAGCAAAAGCAUCGGCUAACUCCGUGCCAGCAGCCUCGGUAAUACGGAGGGGGCAAGCGUUGUCCGGAAUCAUUGGGCGUAAAGAGUUCGUAGGCGGUAUGUUAAGUCUGGUGUUAAAUGCAGAAGCUCAACUUCUGUGCGGCACUGGAUACUGGCAAACUAGAAUGCGGUAGAGGUAAAGGGAAUUCCUGGUGUAGCGGUGAAAUGCUUAGAUAUCAGGAGGAACAUCGGUGGCGUAAGCGCUUUACUGGGCCGUAAUUGACGCUGAGGAACGAAAGCCAGGGUAGCAAAUGGGAUUAGAUACCCUAGUAGUC
rnacentral:rRNA from 1 species